rnacentral:lncRNA from 1 species
AGUAUUGCAACAAAGCUUCAUUUUUUUCAGGAGAAACAUUUAUUACACGAAGCUUAGUUGGACGAUUAUCGAUGGACAUUGACGCAAACAUAUCACCUCGUCCGCGACCUCUGCCACGGAAAAAUGUGUUGGUACCUCGCUGGGGAAGUCCUGAAGCGUAAGGAUGAUGAGAACCAUUAGAUGCCGCUGGGCUUUCAGAAACGUUGCUCACAGGUAACCCUAAGCAAUCAGCCUCAGCCUUCAAAAGAGAAUGCUGAGUUUCUAACAACAUGAGUCUUUUGUUUCCUGAACGGUCAGUUUCCUUAAUUUUUUGCAUCAGUAACUCUUGUUCUUUUAAUUGUUGCUGUGCAAGCUCGCGCUUUUUUUGGUUAAGUUCUUCUAGUGCCUUUUUAUUAGCAUUUAUGCGUUUUAAACGUUCUUCGUGCUGCCUUUGCCUUUCUUCAAUCAGUUUAUGAAACUCUUCGUUUUGUAACAAAGAAGCAGGAUCGACAUCUUCAGAACUCUCUACAUUCGACGAAUCGGAAGUAGUGGGAGAUUUAUGGGAUGCAAACUUCUUUGGUCGAUUGUGAAAUCCCUUUGACGGAUUAUACCAAAAUAUUUUAAUAAAGCGAUUGUUAAAUAUGGGCUCAGGCGAGGACCAAGCAUUGUUGGCAGCCUCAUGGGAAGUGAAUUCUAACACACAAGAAUGAUGUGUCGGAUUUAAUUCGACUUUCUCCAAUACACCGAACUUUGAAAAAAAGGACCUAAUGUUCUCCUCAUUAAAAUGCUCUUCCGGAAUGUUUCGCACUUCUAAAGCAGUACUUGUUGGAUCAUUGCCAGCGUUACGAGAGAAGCGAUGUCCCAGAUGGGGUUGGGGAUACGCUUUGUAUGGAUUAAAUCUUCGAUUACCAGGAGAAUGCCUACGAAGUUCACUAUUAUGCUCAUGGCGCAUGCCAAAUCCUCUUUUACCUCGCAUCUUAAAUGGGGGAGGGAAAGGAGGCUGCGCCGCAGGAUUAAAUGGUAAGAAUGGUAUGGGAGGCAUUGCAGGAUUUGGUAAGUUUCCAAACCCAGGAAUACUGGGCAUGAAUUCAGAAGGUGCUGUGGCUGCUGGAUGGUACAACGGAGGUCCAAACAUAUUAGGCACCUGAGAGGGAAAAGUGUUUGUUUUUCCUACAGCAGGUAAAGAAUUAUUAAAAUUGGUUUCCAUGCUGUUGGUGGCAGGGAUCAUUGAUGAAGUUGGCGAAUACCUUGAAACUUCUUCAGUCACCAUACCGGUUGACGGCAUAUUUGAAGCACCCUCCAAGUAAGAUUUUUCACGUAAAACAUCAAAAAUUUUAUCAACAAAAGGAAUUGUCUCCUGUCGCAAAAAAUCUUCUAGUUGUGAGUAGCAUAACUGGCGAACUUCUUCUUCAGAAGAAUCGUGCCUUAACAAUGCCAUAGCAUAAUCUGAUAAAACACUUGCAUCAGCAUCAGAACUAGUCAUUUCGUUAGCAUAUUGAUAAACAAUUUUUUAGCGUGUAAAAAAAAAAAUCACGCAAAUUGGCAACUCAAAAAAAAUUACAUACAUUGGCUCCAACGCCUGUUCUAAAUAUCUUUUCAAAUACUAAAAGCGUUAAUUCGGCAUCUUAAAAAUAAAAUUACCUCAGCAUGUUCUUCUAAGAACAACGGCAUUGUGAUGGAGCAAAGUGCUGGUUGUUGGAGCGUUACGCAUGGUUGAGCCAGUAAGAAAAUAUAGAUCACAUAAGGUAAAAUCUUUAACAAUUAGCCAGAAAGUUCAAAAAGAAUAAACAUAAUACCAAAAUAAUAACAAAUGUCUUAGCUAGGGCAAUUGGCUGGGAUAAAAUUUAACUGAGUAGUCGACAUUAGAUAAGGAAUAG